rnacentral:rRNA from 1 species
GCUCCAAUAGCGUAUAUUAAAGUUGUUGUGGUUAAAAAGCUCGUAGUUGGAUCUCGGCGGGCAGGAGUCGGUCCGAAUGCUUUCGGUACUGGCUUGUUUGUCCGUGUGUUGCCAGAGGCAGGCGGGUGCUCUUCGCCGAGUGUCCGUCUGUGCUGGCAGGUUUACUUUGAAAAAAUUAGAGUGCUCAAAGCAAGCUCAAA